GACUAAUAUGGUGCUUGCCAAGCCUAUUUCUACUCCAAUGUCAGCUUCUACAACUCUUAGUUAUUUUGAAGGAACUCCUCCCUCCAGCUCACUGCCUUCUCAGAUUCCGAUUGGGCUUGCUGCCCGAAUGACAGACGUUCCACCUUAGGAUAUUGUGUUCUUCUAGGCAAAAACAUACUCUGAGUUCCAAGAAACAACCAACGGUAUCUCGAUCAAGCACUGAAUCCGAGUAUAAAGCCAUUGCAAAUGCUUCAGCCGAGUUAAUAUGUGGAUUUAGACUCUCCUUGGUGAACUUCGUGUUACAUCUCCAUGACCACCCAUCUUGCAUUGUGAUAACAUGGGAGCUACAUAUCUCACCUCAAAUCCACUACAUCAUGCCCACACAAAGCAUAUAGAAAUUGAUUAUCACUUUGUAAGAGACAUGGUUGCUUUAAAGGCUCUUGAGGUACGGUUCAUUUCAAGAAAAGAUCAGCUGGCCGACAUUCUCACAAAGCCACUAGCUGCUGCACGAUUCAUCAUGCUCAAGUCCAACCUCAACGUUAGGAUACUUACAUUGAGUUUGAAGGGGCCUAUUAGAUCAAACUACUCAUCAACUCAAGAUAAAGCUAAAGUUGUAGAGUUGGAUCAAGAAGCAUCGUCUUCCAUCGAAUCAGAUAACAAUAGAAAAGUAGAGUUGUAACACCAUGUCUCUAUAAUCUUAUUGAUGUAAAUCACCAUAAGCCUUAUUGAUGUAAAUCACAUAUGGUGAUAAUCUAGAACUGAUAAACUCAAAGGUUAUUGUAUGUACAAGCAUACUGCCAUACGAUUCAGUAGGCAGAUUAGCAAAGAAUUCUAAGAUCUUAUAUA